CACGUAGGGGGCGAGCGUUGUCCGGAUUUAUUGGCGUAAAAGAGCUCGUAGGCGGUUUCGUAAGUCGGGUGUGAAAACUUCAGGCUCAACCUGGAGACGCCACCCCGAAACUGCGAUACUAGAGUCCGGUAGGGGGAGUGUGGAAUUCCUGGUGUAGCGGUGAAAUGCGCAGAGAUCGGGGAGGGAAACACCCCCGUAGCGAAGGGCGGCACUCUGGG
rnacentral:rRNA from 1 species